GACGAACCGAGCGAACGUUGUUCGGAAUCACUGGGCUUAAAGGGUGCGUAGGCUGUGCGGAAAGUUGGGCGUGAAAUACCUCAGCUUAACUGAGGAACUGCGUUCAAAACUACCGUGCUCGAGGGAGACAGAGGUAAGCGGAACUGAGGGUGGAGCGGUGAAAUGCGUUGAUAUCCUCAGGAACACCGGUGGCGAAGGCGGCACUCUGGGACGGUACUGACGCUGAGACGCGAAAGCGUGGGGAGCGAACAGG
rnacentral:rRNA from 1 species